UAAGUAGGCGGUGGAAAAUAAACCAAAUGGGAUUCCUUAAGUAAUGGCGAAUGAACAAGGAACUGCUCAACUUGAAAAAUCGGGGCUUCUGGCCUUGAAUUGUAAUUUUGAAAUGUAUUGCCAAUGGAGGCGCAGGUGCAAGCCAAUUGAAAGAAAGCGUCAAAGAAGGUGAAAAUCCUUUUUGUCAUUUGCAGCCCUCUGUGCACGGUAUAUAUUUGACGAGUCACACUCCUCGGCAUUGGAAUGCAAAGUGGGUGGUAAAUUGCAUGUAAAGAUUAAUAUAUUAUUGAGACUGAUAGCGAACAAGUACCAUGAGGGAAAUAUGAAAAGGACUUUGAAAAGAGAAUUAAAAGAGUCUGCACUUGCUGAACAGAAAGCAAACAGAAGUGAUUAUGCUUGGUAAGAUUGUUGCGUCCUGUUGUUCUGCAACUUGGGCGCAGUGGUUCUUACCUUGUCUGCCAGCAUCUUUUCUGCAAAUCAGAACCCUGGCACAUGACUGGUAAUUCGCCUGCGGGUGUUGGAAUGCAUGUGUUUGCUAUGAUUUGUGAUUAGAUUUGUGCGCGUGGUGCUUCGGUAUGUGGCUCUUUGCUGUGGGGGAAUUCUCCUCUGCCCUGCUGAAUCCCUUGCGCUACAUCGCUGGCAAAAUGUUUCUGCUUGACCCG
rnacentral:rRNA from 1 species